GAUGAAGAACUUAGCGAAAUGUGAUACUUGGUGUGAAUUGCAGAAUCCCGUGAACCAUCGAGUCUUUGAACGCAAGUUGCGCCCGAAGCCAUUAGGCCGAGGGCACGCCUGCCUGGGCGUCACACGUCGUUGCCCCCCCAUCUACUCCUUCGGGAUUGCGGGGGGCGGAUGAUGGCCUCCCGUGCGCCUCGUCGCGCGGUUGGCCUAAAUGCCAAGUCCUCGGCGACGCACGCCACGACAAUCGGUGGUUGCGAAACCUCGGUUGCCUGUCGUGUGCGGUCGUCGCGCAUCGAGGGCUCGAAAAAAUUGCCGGGCUUCGGCUCGACUUUCAACGCGACCCCAGGUCAGGCGGGGUUACCCGCUGAAUUUAAGCAUAUCAAUAAGCGGGGA
rnacentral:misc_RNA from 1 species